GGUUAAGCGACUAAGCGUACACGGUGGAUGCCCUGGCAGUCAGAGGCGAUGAAGGACGUGCUAAUCUGCGAUAAGCGUCGGUAAGGUGAUAUGAACCGUUAUAACCGGCGAUUUCCGAAUGGGGAAACCCAGUGUGUUUCGACACACUAUCAUUAACUGAAUCCAUAGGUUAAUGAGGCGAACCGGGGGAACUGAAACAUCUAAGUACCCCGAGGAAAAGAAAUCAACCGAGAUUCCCCCAGUAGCGGCGAGCGAACGGGGAGCAGCCCAGAGCCUGAAUCAGUGUGUGUGUUAGUGGAAGCGUCUGGAAAGGCGCGCGAUACAGGGUGACAGCCCCGUACACAAAAAUGCACAUGCUGUGAGCUCGAUGAGUAGGGCGGGACACGUGGUAUCCUGUCUGAAUAUGGGGGGACCAUCCUCCAAGGCUAAAUACUCCUGACUGACCGAUAGUGAACCAGUACCGUGAGGGAAAGGCGAAAAGAACCCCGGCGAGGGGAGUGAAAAAGAACCUGAAACCGUGUACGUACAAGCAGUGGGAGCCUCUUUAUGGGGUGACUGCGUACCUUUUGUAUAAUGGGUCAGCGACUUAUAUUCUGUAGCAAGGUUAACCGAAUAGGGGAGCCGAAGGGAAACCGAGUCUUAACUGGGCGUUAAGUUGCAGGGUAUAGACCCGAAACCCGGUGAUCUAGCCAUGGGCAGGUUGAAGGUUGGGUAACACUAACUGGAGGACCGAACCGACUAAUGUUGAAAAAUUAGCGGAUGACUUGUGGCUGGGGGUGAAAGGCCAAUCAAACCGGGAGAUAGCUGGUUCUCCCCGAAAGCUAUUUAGGUAGCGCCUCGUGAAUUCAUCUCCGGGGGUAGAGCACUGUUUCGGCAAGGGGGUCAUCCCGACUUACCAACCCGAUGCAAACUGCGAAUACCGGAGAAUGUUAUCACGGGAGACACACGGCGGGUGCUAACGUCCGUCGUGAAGAGGGAAACAACCCAGACCGCCAGCUAAGGUCCCAAAGUCAUGGUUAAGUGGGAAACGAUGUGGGAAGGCCCAGACAGCCAGGAUGUUGGCUUAGAAGCAGCCAUCAUUUAAAGAAAGCGUAAUAGCUCACUGGUCGAGUCGGCCUGCGCGGAAGAUGUAACGGGGCUAAACCAUGCACCGAAGCUGCGGCAGCGACGCUUAUGCGUUGUUGGGUAGGGGAGCGUUCUGUAAGCCUGUGAAGGUGUGCUGUGAGGCAUGCUGGAGGUAUCAGAAGUGCGAAUGCUGACAUAAGUAACGAUAAAGCGGGUGAAAAGCCCGCUCGCCGGAAGACCAAGGGUUCCUGUCCAACGUUAAUCGGGGCAGGGUGAGUCGACCCCUAAGGCGAGGCCGAAAGGCGUAGUCGAUGGGAAACAGGUUAAUAUUCCUGUACUUGGUGUUACUGCGAAGGGGGGACGGAGAAGGCUAUGUUGGCCGGGCGACGGUUGUCCCGGUUUAAGCGUGUAGGCUGGUUUUCCAGGCAAAUCCGGAAAAUCAAGGCUGAGGCGUGAUGACGAGGCACUACGGUGCUGAAGCAACAAAUGCCCUGCUUCCAGGAAAAGCCUCUAAGCAUCAGGUAACAUCAAAUCGUACCCCAAACCGACACAGGUGGUCAGGUAGAGAAUACCAAGGCGCUUGAGAGAACUCGGGUGAAGGAACUAGGCAAAAUGGUGCCGUAACUUCGGGAGAAGGCACGCUGAUAUGUAGGUGAGGUCCCUUGCGGAUGGAGCUGAAAUCAGUCGAAGAUACCAGCUGGCUGCAACUGUUUAUUAAAAACACAGCACUGUGCAAACACGAAAGUGGACGUAUACGGUGUGACGCCUGCCCGGUGCCGGAAGGUUAAUUGAUGGGGUCAGCGCAAGCGAAGCUCUUGAUCGAAGCCCCGGUAAACGGCGGCCGUAACUAUAACGGUCCUAAGGUAGCGAAAUUCCUUGUCGGGUAAGUUCCGACCUGCACGAAUGGCGUAAUGAUGGCCAGGCUGUCUCCACCCGAGACUCAGUGAAAUUGAACUCGCUGUGAAGAUGCAGUGUACCCGCGGCAAGACGGAAAGACCCCGUGAACCUUUACUAUAGCUUGACACUGAACAUUGAGCCUUGAUGUGUAGGAUAGGUGGGAGGCUUUGAAGUGUGGACGCCAGUCUGCAUGGAGCCGACCUUGAAAUACCACCCUUUAAUGUUUGAUGUUCUAACGUGGACCCGUGAUCCGGGUUGCGGACAGUGUCUGGUGGGUAGUUUGACUGGGGCGGUCUCCUCCUAAAGAGUAACGGAGGAGCACGAAGGUUGGCUAAUCCUGGUCGGACAUCAGGAGGUUAGUGCAAUGGCAUAAGCCAGCUUGACUGCGAGCGUGACGGCGCGAGCAGGUGCGAAAGCAGGUCAUAGUGAUCCGGUGGUUCUGAAUGGAAGGGCCAUCGCUCAACGGAUAAAAGGUACUCCGGGGAUAACAGGCUGAUACCGCCCAAGAGUUCAUAUCGACGGCGGUGUUUGGCACCUCGAUGUCGGCUCAUCACAUCCUGGGGCUGAAGUAGGUCCCAAGGGUAUGGCUGUUCGCCAUUUAAAGUGGUACGCGAGCUGGGUUUAGAACGUCGUGAGACAGUUCGGUCCCUAUCUGCCGUGGGCGCUGGAGAACUGAGGGGGGCUGCUCCUAGUACGAGAGGACCGGAGUGGACGCAUCACUGGUGUUCGGGUUGUCAUGCCAAUGGCACUGCCCGGUAGCUAAAUGCGGAAGAGAUAAGUGCUGAAAGCAUCUAAGCACGAAACUUGCCCCGAGAUGAGUUCUCCCUGACUCCUUGAGAGUCCUGAAGGAACGUUGAAGACGACGACGUUGAUAGGCCGGGUGUGUAAGCGCAGCGAUGCGUUGAGCUAACCGGUACUAAUGAACCGUGAGGCUUAACCUU
rnacentral:rRNA from 1 species